CUGGAACUCACUCUGUAAGAUGACCCGU
rnacentral:piRNA from 1 species